UUCAUUUAUCAGUAUACUUGGCCUUUAAAGUUGCUGUCAGACAUUGAGCACAGUAAUAGCAUUCUCAUAACUUUUAGAAACUCUUGCAACAAGAUAGCUUUUUAAAGUUUCCUGUUAAAAUGACACCUUUAUAUCUCAUGUGGGAUUUUGUUGUGAAAUUCUAGAAAAAUAUUAUAACCUCUCUUUGUAAUUUAUUUUACUUGUAUGAAUUUAAGAUCUCCAGCGUGUGUCUUUACUUGGUAUUCUGUUCCGGUCAGCAGCAUUGGAGAGGAAAGGAAGAGCCAUAAGCCUGGUCAUUUCCGUUGUCCAGAAGAUUUAUUUACUCAGGAGGUCGGCACAGCAUCCGGCCAGUGAGUGAGGAGAUUGAUGUGACUUAGGUUGGCUGUGAGUCUUUUAAUCACACAGAUGGUGUGUUUAUAGUAAUGAAGUGGGAGGGAAAUCAAGUAAAGAUUUUAUUGUGUUUGUUCCUUCAACCAGGGAUCAGUUCUCAGAAGGGAGCUAGAGUCCUCUUUAAGCUGCUGUCAUAAACCUAGAGUCAGUGACCUGACUGACACUGCUGUCCUGUGUUUGGCUAUGGAAGGUCUGGGAGACAACGUGUAAGCCCAGGCUGCUCCAGUCUUAAAUGGGCGAUGUCCUGCCAGGCUCUGCUACAUUGGUUGGUUGGUUUGUUGAUUGACUGACUGAUUGAUAAUUUAAGCCAUGCAGCAGUAGCCUUGUUCUCUUUGGUCACGUGCCCUUUAGGCCAGUGCUCCUUUAAUAUUAGGAUGCAGUACAAUGUACCCUGAAGGACUAGUAAAAUGUGCUGGACCUUAAGACUGAUUUAGGCAGGGAAAGAACAGAACUCUUAUGUAAAUGGAACCUCAAAUCUGCAUCCAGGUGGCCUCUAGGCCAUAGUUUAAAACACAACUUGGAAUGCAGUCGAUAUUUCUUUAUCCAUUUGGUGCUUAACAUAAUUCUCACAAGAUGUUUCAUCUAUUUAAAUAGUAAUAAUAAUCAAUAGUAGCAAUUUUAGAGUAGAAAAUAACUUGAAGUGAUAUCCAAUUCAUUGUUGGACAAAUGCAAGAAGUCACAUGAUUUGCCUAUGGUCAUACAAAGUCUCUCAAUUCCUUGCUCAGGGCUUUUAAAAACACCAGUGAUCGUGGACAUCUUGUCUUUAUUAUUGUAAAUACGAUGAUAGGAUUGGAAAAGGAGGGCAUGGGAGUAGAUGCUGAGAGCUUUAUCCAUAGGAAAGAAGUAUUUUAGUACUUGAGAAAUUAGCAGCCCAUGUGUGAGUAAACACAGCAGUUCUCUCUGUGCCCAUCACACAGCCGCUCAUACAGCCGGAAGCGCUUGUGUCUCACUGAGAACAGUGAUAACUCUGCGACAGUCUCGAAGAGUCAACACUUCUUACCACAGAUGCUGGAAAAGCUGGAAAUGUUGUAGUCAUUGAAACAUUCAACCAAGCACAAUGGAAAUCAUAGGCUUGCUUGCCGUAGCUUUGGAAAAAGGUUGCUUUUUGGGUCUUUUUUUUUCCCCCAAAGAAAAUAGUUUGGGAGGAAAGUAUAGCAAUUAAUACCUUCACAAUUAAAAACUAUUAUAUAAGGAUCAAAUUGAUACUCAAAAGAAGAUUCCAUAAAUGAUAUCAGUUUGUAAAGAGUUCUAUGUCAGAUGUUAUACCCACAUGUCACCUAACGCAAGCCAGGGACCCUUGAAUCACUGUUGCUGAAUACCUACUAUGUGUUGAAGAAUGUGUCUGCUUUAAUAUACUAUGGGCCCCUACAAAGACCCUUACAAGGUAGGUGGAAUGAGCGUCAAAUUAUGUUGAAAGUAGCAGUGUGUUAAAAAAUGAAGUGACGUGCCUUCAGCCACAGGUGGCAGAGGUGGCAGCACUGGAUUCAGAUGGAGGUUUGCUGUCAGUUUUAUUGCUGAGACUGCACUGACUCCUCUGCGUUUUGCCCCUUAGUUCAUGGAGGAGGAGUUACACUGGUCUGCUGGUCCAUGUGCUUGCUAUCUUCUGCAAAGUUUGAUCACACAGUUGGCCUCGUUCCCUUGAGUACUGCAUAAAAGAACAUUUCAAGCACUGAUGUUCCCAUGAGACUGGAGAGCAUAAACUCAGGCCAUUUCUAACAGAAAAACUAUGCAGAUGAGUCCCCAUGGUGGCGAAAAAGUGGAUAGUCAGCCUUGUGAGAAGCAAAGCCAGACAGAUGAGAAGUGACAAGAGCCAGCAAACUGAGCAGGGAUCCGUUGCCCUCUCUGAGGAACAGUCAGGAUCAAGACAAAAUCAGACAGUACUAAGCAAGGAAUUGAACGGCCUCAGAAAAACCUGUUCUAUUGGGAAGAGUUACAUAUCUUAACGUCCCUUUUUGUUUUUAUUUUGUUUUUGGCUUUUUGAGACAGGGUUUCUUUGUAUAGACCAGACUGCCUUCAAAUUCACAGAUGUCCACCUGCCUCUGCCUUCCAAGUGUUGGGAUUAAAGACAUGUGCCACCACAGCCUGGCCUUAGGGUCUCACUUUAAUAGUCUAAAACUAUGUUGUUUUUUUUUUACUGUUUUAUUUAGUCAUUUUUAUUAUAAUUGGUAGAAAUAUAUUUUAAUUGAUAACGAAGUUAUUACUGUUGGUAAAGCUUCCUUUGGAAGAGUCUAUUAAUGGGAAUGCUAUGUUGAAUGACUUACAGAUGUAUCAAAUAUACAGUAGUUGCUUAUUUUCAAUCAUGAAAUAAAGAGCUAAAGUAAGAAACUUCUACUUUAAAAAAAAAUAUUAUGUGAUCACAAUUCGGGGGCCAGGGGAACAUAUGCUUUUAAUUCCAGAAGUGGGGAUGCAGAGGCAGGAGGAUCUUCUGUGAGUUUGAGGUCAGCAGGUCUACAUAGUAAGGUUCUGGGCUAGCCAGAGUUAUACAGUAAGACCCUGCUUAUU
rnacentral:lncRNA from 1 species